UACGUAGGUGGCAAGCGUUGUCCGGAAUUAUUGGGCGUAAAGCGCGCGCAGGCGGCUUCUUAAGUCUGAUGUGAAAUCUCGGGGCUCAACCCCGAGCGGCCAUUGGAAACUGGAAGCUUGAGUACAGAAGAGGAGAGUGGAAUUCCACGUGUAGCGGUGAAAUGCGUAGAUAUGUGGAGGGACACCAGUGGCGAAGGCGACUCUCUGGUCUGUAACUGACGCUGAGGCGCGAAAGCGUGGGGAGCAAACAGG
rnacentral:rRNA from 1 species